UCUACCCUUUAUUGUUGAUGACGAUUGUUUCCCCCCUGGAUUGGUCAUCAUUAUAUACCUAGUUGCGGUAUCCCGAUGCCUUUUUUUUCUUUCCGGUCGUCUUAUCCUUUAUUAACCCAGUAACCGGUUGUGGAUAAUCUUCCAUGCGAGUAUAUUAUCUACGUUCUGACGGUGAUAGAUACUAUAUCUCAUGCACUCUUCGGUCGAAGCCUUUUGUUC
rnacentral:lncRNA from 1 species